rnacentral:rRNA from 1 species
UACGUAGGGUGCGAGCGUUGUCCGGAAUUAUUGGGCGUAAAGAGCUCGCAGGCGGUCUGUCGCGUCGGUCGUGAAAACUUGGGGCUUAACCCUGAGCUUGCGGUCGAUACGGGCAUGACUGGAGUUCGGCAGGGGAGACUGGAAUUCCUGGUGUAGCGGUGAAAUGCGCAGAUAUCAGGAGGAACACCGGUGGCGAAGGCGGGUCUCUGGGCCGAUACUGACGCUGAGGAGCGAAAGCGUGGGGAGCAAACAGG